rnacentral:rRNA from 1 species
ACGCUGGCGGCGUGCUUAACACAUGCAAGUCCCACGAUGAAGCCCUUCGGGGUGGAUUAGUGGCGAACGGGUGAGUAACACGUGGGCAAUCUGCCCUUCACUCUGGGACAAGCCCUGGAAACGGGGUCUAAUACCGGAUACGAGACCGGGAGGCAUCUCCUGGUCUGGAAAGCUCCGGCGGUGAAGGAUGAGCCCGCGGCCUAUCAGCUUGUUGGUGGGGUAAUGGCCUACCAAGGCGACGACGGGUAGCCGGCCUGAGAGGGCGACCGGCCACACUGGGACUGAGACACGGCCCAGACUCCUACGGGAGGCAGCAGUGGGGAAUAUUGCACAAUGGGCGAAAGCCUGAUGCAGCGACGCCGCGUGAGGGAUGACGGCCUUCGGGUUGUAAACCUCUUUCAGCAGGGAAGAAGCGAGAGUGACGGUACCUGCAGAAGAAGCGCCGGCUAACUACGUGCCAGCAGCCGCGGUAAUACGUAGGGCGCAAGCGUUGUCCGGAAUUAUUGGGCGUAAAGAGCUCGUAGGCGGCUUGUCACGUCGGGUGUGAAAGCCCGGGGCUUAACCCCGGGUCUGCUUCCGAUACGGGCAGGCUAGAGUGUGGUAGGGGUGAUCGGAAUUCCUGGUGUAGCGGUGAAAUGCGCAGAUAUCAGGAGGAACACCGGUGGCGAAGGCGGAUCUGUGGGCCAUUACUGACGCUGAGGAGCGAAAGCGUGGGGAGCGAACAGGAUUAGAUACCCUGGUAGUCCACGCCGUAAACGUUGGGAACUAGGUGUUGGCGACAUUCCACGUCGUCGGUGCCGCAGCUAACGCAUUAAGUUCCCCGCCUGGGGAGUACGGCCGCAAGGCUAAAACUCAAAGGAAUUGACGGGGGGCCGCACAAGCAGCGGAGCAUGUCUUAAUUCGACGCAACGCGAAGAACCUUACCAAGGCUUGACAUAUACCGGAAACAUCCAGAGAUGGGUGCCCCCUUGUGGUCGGUAUACAGGUGGUGCAUGGCUGUCGUCAGCUCGUGUCGUGAGAUGUUGGGUUAAGUCCCGCAACGAGCGCAACCCUUGUCCUGUGUUGCCAGCAUGCCCUUCGGGGUGAUGGGGACUCACAGGAGACCGCCGGGGUCAACUCGGAGGAAGGUGGGGACGACGUCAAGUCAUCAUGCCCCUUAUGUCUUGGGCUGCACACGUGCUACAAUGGCCGGUACAAAGAGCUGCGAUGCCGUGAGGCGGAGCGAAUCUCAAAAAGCCGGUCUCAGUUCGGAUUGGGGUCUGCAACUCGACCCCAUGAAGUCGGAGUUGCUAGUAAUCGCAGAUCAGCAUUGCUGCGGUGAAUACGUUCCCGGGCCUUGUACACACCGCCCGUCACGUCACGAAAGUCGGUAACACCCGAAGCCGGUGGCCCAACCCUUCGGGGAGGGAGCUGUCGAAGGUGG